CAGAAAAAACCAUUACCAGAAAUUUUGUUUGUCUCGCUGGGCGUGACCAUCUCACCGUUCCAACCAACCGCGAGAAGCUUUUAUUAGAAGAAAAUGGCCUUGGAGAGAAAAAGUUGCAGAUCCCUACGAAUGCAUCGAAGGAGCAGGUCAAGGAGGUUUUGUACAAGGCCUUCCGUCCAUUACAAAGUUGUGGCGGAUUCGAAAUGCUGUUGCACGCAGACAACUCGCGCACUAGGUUACAAGUUGUAAAGUAUGGGUCGUGCAAUACCGACGAACUUAGGUGUUUGGGCAUAGGCCGAGUUUAUAUUCGGCCCAUACAAGUAGAUAUAACUUUGGGCGACAUUAUUCAGCAAGUUGCGACUGUAACAGAUCGAACGG